GUCCCCUGUUUUGGGGCGCGGCUGCGCUUGGGAAGGGAGCGGGGGAGGCCCCGGCAAUGCGCGGCCCGCAGCAGGUUCCCCCGCGGCUGCUGAGGCCGUGACUCCGGCGCGGGCGGUGUGUCCCCGCCGGGAGCGGGCGGAGGACAGAAGCAAGGAGUUAAAUGCUGAUUGAAACAGGUCCAGUCAGACACCUCUAUGGAAGAAUUUUGCAAGACAGAUGCGAAGUCCCUAGAAUAUAAAUCUGCACAGUGAAGUGCUUGAAAGGACGGCUCAUACUUUACUGUGUGCCACUGUGAAGGAGAGAAACUGGAUUGCCUGCAUACAAGUGCUCCUGUAACUGUCAGGCUCCUGGCAGCUCGUAUCUCCUGAAUCCUAAGAAGUUUGCUAGAUGUCCAUUCUAUGAUUUCUGUGAUUCUGUGUUUUGAUGGUACCUGCUCCUACAGUGGAAGGGUCAUUGUGGUCACACUGCUGAAUUGGAAGGUACCAAAAUCCUGGAGAAAGAUUCAUCAGCCGAAUCUACACUGGUAUGAUUCAGAGGACUCGGGCACUGCUAGGCAGAGCUCUUAAAACUGAAUUGUCAGCAUAUUACCUGGCAGUUUUGGAAUGUGACUCUUGGCAACCACUCAGAGGGUACCUGGACAUGGAUUGGAGGAUGUCAUGGAGCAGGGACCAUUUAUUUUCCCAAAGGCAGUUUUACAUCAUCACUCCUGGGGGAAGAAGAAAAUGUAGUUCUGUGAUGCAAGCUGGGACACUCUAACUUCAGAACCCAAAGAACAACUUCUGUCCCAGACAAGCUGACUUGAGGAUUUCCUUUGUCAUCCCUUCUGCAGCUUCCUCAUCCACUUUCAGAGGUACAAGAUGUACAUCUGCCAGUUCCCCAGUCUUCACAGAGGUAUUUCUACUGUCUUGACAGAUGAUAAUUUGACACAACGAGAUCUCCAAGUUAAAGGUGAGGACAUGACCGAAUAAUUGGUUUUCCCCACAAACACGUGUCCUCUUGUCUUGACAGCAUUUAUUAUUUUACAAAUAAAGAGUAUUUCUCCAA